CGGGGUGAGUAACGCGUGGGUAACCUGCCUCAUACAGGGGGAUAACAGUUAGAAAUGACUGCUAAUACCGCAUAAGCGCACAGUGCUGCAUGGCACAGUGUGAAAAACUCCGGUGGUAUGAGGUGGACCCGCGUCUGAUUAGCUAGUUGGUGGGGUAACGGCCUACCAAGGCGACGAUCAGUAGCCGGCCUGAGAGGGUGAACGGCCACAUUGGGACUGAGACACGGCCCAA
rnacentral:rRNA from 1 species